rnacentral:tRNA from 1 species
UGGGUUGUGGCUCAGUGGGAGAGCGCUCACCUAGCAUGUGGAAGUGCUGGGUUCAAUCCUCAGCACCACAU